AAAAAAAGGUAAGGAUAGAUAUAUAAAUCAAUGCAACAGAAUCAGGAGUCAAAAAGCAAAACUGAUCCAGGACAAGAUGGAGUUACUGGAGGUUCUGAAGCACGGGCUGCAGCAGGUCAGCGGUCACGGCGGCCUCCGCGGCUAUCUACGAGUUUUAUUCAGGGCAAAUGAUGUGAGGGUUGGUACAUUAGUAGGGGAAGACAAAUAUGGAAACAAAUACUAUGAAGACAACAAGCAAUUUUUUGGCCGUCACCGGUGGGUUAUAUCUACUACUGAAAUGAAUGGCAAAAAUACAUUCUGGGACAUGGACGGAAGCAUGGUGCCUCCAGAAUGGCAUCGUUGGCUUCACUGUAUGACUGAUGAUCCUCCAACAACAAAACUACCUAUUGCUCGUAAAUUCAUUUGGACAAACCAUAAAUUCAACGUGACUGGCAUCCCACAGCAGUAUGUACCGUAUUCCACCACUAGAAAGAAGAUUCAGGAGUGGGUCCCACCUUCAACACCUUACAAGUAAAGACAGUGAAAAAUAGUUUAACCGUGCUAAAUCUGAGGCUUUUCAUGUAAUUGCACCUUUUCUGCUGACUUUAAGUUAAUUAAAAUUGUUUGACUAAAAAAAAAGCAAAACUUUGCAUUUGUGGGCAAUUGAUUUUGACAAAAAUACCAAGGCAAUUCAAUCAGGAAAGGAUAGUCUUUUCCACAAAUGGUGAUAUAGCAAUUGCAUAUCCACAGUGAAAAAAUUAAUUUAGGCCCCUUGCCUUAUACCAGAUUGCCUCAAAAUGAAUCAUAAUC